rnacentral:rRNA from 1 species
UACGUAGGGCGCAAGCGUUGUCCGGAAUUAUUGGGCGUAAAGAGCUCGUAGGCGGUUUGUCGCGUCGGCUGUGAAAACUCGGGGCUCAACCCCGAGCCUGCAGUCGAUACGGGCAGACUAGAGUGAUGUAGGGGAGACUGGAAUUCCUGGUGUAGCGGUGAAAUGCGCAGAUAUCAGGAGGAACACCGAUGGCGAAGGCAGGUCUCUGGGCAUUAACUGACGCUGAGGAGCGAAAGCAUGGGGAGCGAACAGG